rnacentral:rRNA from 1 species
CUACGGGGCGCAGCAGUGAGGAAUAUUGCACAAUGGGGGGAACCCUGAUGCAGCAACGCCGCGUGGAGGAUGACGCAUUUCGGUGUGUAAACUCCUUUUAUAUGUCAAGAAAAUGACGGUAGCAUAUGAAUAAGCACCGGCUAACUCCGUGCCAGCAGCCGCGGUAAUACGGAGGGUGCAAGCGUUACUCGGAAUCACUGGGCGUAAAGGACGCGUAGGCGGGUUGGAAAGUCAGGUGUGAAAUCCUACAGCUUAACUGUAGAACUGCACUUGAAACUUCUAGUCUAGAGUAUGGGAGGGGGAGAUGGAAUUAGUGGUGUAGGGGUAAAAUCCGUAGAUAUCACUAGGAAUACCUAAAGCGAAGGCGAUCUCCUGGAACAUUACUGACGCUAAGGCGUGAAAGCGUGGGGAGCAGACAGGAUUAGAUACCCCCGUAGUC